AAAGAAAGUAAGCAAGGGCGCAUGGCGGAUGCCUUGGCUCUCGGAGGCGAUGAAGGACGUGAUAAGCUGCGAUAAGCUCUGGGUAGGUGCAAAUAACCUUUGAUCCAGAGAUUUCCGAAUGGGACAACCCGGCAUUCUGAAGGAAUGUCAUCCAUCUUUGAUGGAAGCUAACGCAGGGAACUGAAACAUCUUAGUACCUGUAGGAAAAGAAAAUAAUAAUGAUUCCCCUAGUAGUGGCGAGCGAACGGGGAAUAGCCCAAACCACCCAUGUUACGGCAUGUGUGGGGUUGUAGGACCACGAUAUCGCAAGACAUUUGAUGAGUAGAAUCCUCUGGAAAGUGGAACCAUAGACGGUGAUAGUCCGGUAUACGAAGUCAAAUUAAGCGUAGUGGUAUCCUGAGUAGCGCGGGACACGAGAAAUCUUGCGUGAAUCUGCCGGGACCAUCCGGUAAGGCUAAAUACUCCCGAGAGACCGAUAGCGAACCAGUACUGUGAAGGAAAGGUGAAAAGCACUUCGAAUAGAAGAGUGAAAUAGUCCCUGAAACCGUGCGCCUACAAGCGGUCGGAGCUGCUUAAGCAGUGACGGCGUGCCUUUUGCAUAAUGAACCUACGAGUUACUUUUUCCGGCAAGGUUAAGCAUCUUGAGAUGUGCAGCCGAAGCGAAAGCGAGUCUGAACAGGGCGUCGAGUCGGAAGGAGUAGACGCGAAACCAAGUGAUCUACCCUUGGUCAGGUUGAAGGUUAGGUAACACUAACUGGAGGACCGAACCGAUAAGCGUUGAAAAGCUUCCGGAUGAACUGAGGGUGGGGGUGAAAGGCUAAUCAAACUUGGAGAUAGCUCGUACUCCCCGAAAUGCAUUUAGGUGCAGCCUUGUGAGUUACUAAUGUGAGGUAGAGCGACUGAUAAGAUGCGAGGGCUUCACCGCCUAUCAAGUCUUGAUAAACUCCGAAUGCGCAUUAGUUCUAUCACAGGAGUGAGGGCAUGGGUGCUAAGGUCCAUGUCCUAAAGGAGAAGAAUCCAGACCAUCAGCUAAGGUCCCCAAAUAAACACUAAGUUGAACUAACGAAGUCAGAUUGCUAAGACAGCUAGGAUGUUGGCUUGGAAGCAGCCAUUCAUUUAAAGAGUGCGUAACAGCUCACUAGUCGAGGAGUUUGGCGUGGAUAAUAAUCGGGCAUUAAGUGUUUUACCGAAGCUAUGGGAUCAGUAAUGAUCGGUAGGGGAGCAUUCCACUCUGCGUCGAAGGUGAAGCGUGAGCUUUGCUGGAGCGUGUGGAAAAGCAAAUGUAGGUAUAAGUAACGAUAAAGGGGGUGAGAAACCCCCUCGCCGAAAGACUAAGGUUUCCUGAUCAACGCUAAUCGGAUCAGGGUUAGUCGGGUCCUAAGGCUCAGCCGAACGGUGAGGCCGAUGGCAGAACAGGUUAAUAUUCCUGUACUACCUUAAGGAGUGACGUGGAGACGGAGCAGUGACAGCGCCGCGGACUGACGGAAUAGUCCGUUGAAGGGUGUAGAUGUUGAUCAUCCCAGGCAAAUCCGGGAUGAGAGUCGAACCUGAUAGUAUGGAGCGUUCUUCGGAACAAUCCAAUAGUGCGUGUAAGCAUACUCCCAAGAAAAUCCGCUAAACUUAAUCCUUAAGGUACCCGUACCGCAAACGGACACACGUAGUCGGGUUGAAUAUACUAAGGCGCUUGAGUGAUUCACGGUUAAGGAACUAGGCAAAUUGACCCUGUAACUUCGGGAUAAAGGGUCCCAACGAGAGUUGGGCGCAGAGAAUAGGUCCAGGCAACUGUUUAACAAAAACACAGGGCUGUGCCAAAUUGAAAGAUUACGUAUACAGCCUGACACCUGCCCGGUGCUGGAAGGUUAAGAGGAGAUGUCAUCGCAAGAGAAGCAUUGAAUUGAAGCCCCAGUAAACGGCGGCCGUAACUAUAACGGUCCUAAGGUAGCGAAAUUCCUUGUCGGGUAAGUUCCGACCUGCACGAAUGGUGUAAUGAUCUGGACACUGUCUCAACCGUGAGCUCAGUGAAAUUGUAGUAUCGGUGAAGAUGCCGAUUACCCGCGAUGGGACGAAAAGACCCCGUGAACCUUUACUAUAGCUUAACAUUGAAUUUGGGUAAUUGAUGUGUAGGAUAGGCCGGAGACUUNNACAAGUCGAUCAGGUAGGAAACUAGAGCAUAGUGAUCCGGUGUUUCCGUAUGGAAGGGACAUCGCUCAAAGGAUAAAAGGUACUCCGGGGAUAACAGGCUGAUCCCUCCCAAGAGCUCAUAUCGACGGAGGGGUUUGGCACCUCGAUGUCGGCUCGUCACAUCCUGGGGCUGGAGAAGGUCCCAAGGGUUGGGCUGUUCGCCCAUUAAAGUGGCACGCGAGCUGGGUUCAGAACGUCGUGAGACAGUUCGGUCUCUAUCUAUCGUGGGCGUAUGAAAUUUGCGUGGCUCUGACACUAGUACGAGAGGACCGUGUUGGACUGACCGCUGGUUUACCAGUUGUGCCGCCAGGUGCAUUGCUGGGUAUCUAAGUCGGGAUUGGAUAAGUGCUGAAAGCAUCUAAGUACGAAGCCAGCCACAAGAUUAGAUUUCUUAGGGUCGUUAAAGACGAUGACGUUGAUAGGAUGCAGGUGUAAAGGUGGUAACAUCAAAGCCGAGCAUUACUAAUUGCCCGUUCACUUUCUUU
rnacentral:rRNA from 1 species